rnacentral:rRNA from 1 species
AGUGAACGCUGGCGGUAGGCCUAACACAUGCAAGUCGAACGGCAGCACAGUAAGAGCUUGCUCUUACGGGUGGCGAGUGGCGGACGGGUGAGGAAUACAUCGGAAUCUACUUUUUCGUGGGGGAUAACGUAGGGAAACUUACGCUAAUACCGCAUACGACCUACGGGUGAAAGCAGGGGAUCUUCGGACCUUGCGCGAUUGAAUGAGCCGAUGUCGGAUUAGCUAGUUGGCGGGGUAAAGGCCCACCAAGGCGACGAUCCGUAGCUGGUCUGAGAGGAUGAUCAGCCACACUGGAACUGAGACACGGUCCAGACUCCUACGGGAGGCAGCAGUGGGGAAUAUUGGAAAAGGGGCGCAAGCCUGAUCCAGCCAUACCGCGUGGGUGAAGAAGGCCUUCGGGUUGUAAAGCCCUUUUGUUGGGAAAGAAAAGCAGCAGGUUAAUACCCCGCUGUUCUGACGGUACCCAAAGAAUAAGCACCGGCUAACUUCGUG